AAAUAGCAAAAACCUAUAAAGUCUUAAAUGUAAAAUGGCUUCUGCUGUCUCUAACAACAGUUUGUUUGCUCAGAACUGAUAGGCAUCAAAAGCACUAGUUGCUGAAUGAGGUAUUUGGUCUGACCGUGAGAUAUCAGGGCACAGCAAGACCUUGAGCUCCGAAGAGACUGGAGCCACAUGAUCAUAAAAGUAUCUGGAUGAAAGAACCUAUUGCUAACAUUUGCUCCCCUGACCCUGAACACCUCCCCUCCUGUGGACUAGAAUAGAUAACUAGGCGAAUCUUAAAGGUAAACUCCCCAACUGCAAAGAACUGUUACGCCUGGGUUGAAAGCUAAUGAUUCUGUGACCGUGAUUUGAACAGAGAAUGAACUGUAACCGCCCGAAUGAAGUCAAGGCCGUGAAACCCUAUAAAAGGAGGAGCGUAACCCAGCGCGUCGUCGAUCCAGGCACGGUUUAUGUGCGAUCGACCCUUAUCAAUGAGCUCCAGGUCGAGCACUCAGGUGCUGCUGAUGGUGGUGGUGACCUGGUUGCUGUUGCUGCUUGACCAUGACUUCCAGCCACUCCACUGCUUUCCCUCAACUCUUCAGCUCUGAUGGGCAACUCAGCAUGAGGACCUGAAGUUCUACGAUGAAAAAUUAGAGAGGUAUAGGGCUGGGGAAGAGACAUAAAGGGUAAAAAAGCCUACGGGACAUAAAAAUGAAGAGUAGAGACUGGAAAGGCUGGACUUCAGGGUGUGCCUUAGGUACAUAUUUUGAAAGAUGCCUAGUAGUAAAAGAAGACAGCUGUGUUUGCCACCCUCCUCACCUGAGUGUGUUUCGUUGGCCACUGAGAAGCCACUGGCAAUGAAAGGACACUUACGUCAUCGUCAUUAAUAAAUACUGAUAUCAGCUGACCUGUUUCCAAACUCCACGUGUCUGGCCCAGGUUAAAUGCUUUACGCACACUGUCCCUGGGGCAGAGUGGGAAGCUGAGGUCUGUGUGCUCUCCACUUGUCUGCUGUAUGAUUUGGGGUGGAAAUCACUGAAUUAGGACUUGGGAGUACCUCAGAACAUGCUGUUCUCUGCAUAAACUAUAUUCCUCAUCAAGGACCAGGCGAGCACAUGCACUGACUUCAUUAAUUUAUGGACUCCUUGGGAAGACAAGAGACGUACGUGAAAAUUCAAGGGUGAAUUAGCUCUACAAGAAUACAGGAGUUGCCAGAAGGUGGGAGGUAGGACUAAAUGACAAGUUAAUGGCAGAAAUAUAGGACUCAUAGGAUCUUAGCAAAAUGUAUUAAUUAACUGCACCAAAAGUUGGACAAGUUACAUUUAAUACGCUUGGAAAUAAACAUGUGUCACUAACAGUCCCUUCUUAGACUGACAAUAACAAACUGAAUAUCUUCGGGUCGAAUGUAACUCACUACGGUUUUAUAAAUUUGCCUUUUCUUCAACUAGGGUUAUCUUUGUCAGAAGCAGUCACAAGGCCCAAGGAGAUUUGCAGCCAUGAAAAGAACUUUUUUCCUGCCCUGUAAUGAACAGAUUAAGAGUUUGCUCCCAAGGUCUGUCCCUGUGUCUGGGUAUCAUUGCAGUGUGAGUCACAGCAAGGAUCACAUAUAUAUAUGUGGUCUGGGGGGACACCAAAGUUUUGAAAGUUGGUGAAAAACAAUGACAUUGAGCAAGACAUGCUGGGGAAGGUGCUGAUUUCACUCCAAGUUACUCAGGAACCAGAUGUUUUGGAGUAACUUGCACAAAGGUGCUGACUACCAGUUUCCCAGCCGCUGACCCCUCCCACAGGAGCUUGAUGAAGGUUGCACGAGCCUUUGGGCCCAUUGGCGCGACUCAACCUGCAGGCUGGCAAGAAGCAGGACGAGAACAUGGUCCAUCCAACCCGCA
ensembl:lincRNA